rnacentral:rRNA from 1 species
GACGAACGCUGGCGGCGUGCCUAAUACAUGCAAGUCGACCUUAGUGGCGAACGGGUGAGUAACACGUGGGUAACCUGCCCAUAUGAAGGGGAUAACACUUGGAAACAGGUGCUAAUACCGUAUACUGAUGGAUGGACCCGCGGUGCAUUAGCUAGUUGGUGAGGUACCGGCUCACCAAGGCCACGAUGCAUAGUCGACCUGAGAGGGUGAACGGCCACAUUGGGAGUGAGCAACGGCCCAAACUGCGACGGUGGGCAGCAGUAGGGAAUCGUAGGCAAUGGACGAAAAUCUGAUCGAGAAACGGCGCGUGAUUGAAGAAGGUUUUCGGAUCGUAAAACUCGGUGGUUAGAAAAGCGGUAUCUAACCAGAAAGCCACGGCUAACUACGUGCCAGCAGCCGCGGUAAUAC